GAUGAACGCUAGCGGCAGGCUUAACACAUGCAAGUCGAGGGGCAGCACGAUGUAGCAAUACAUUGGUGGCGACCGGCGCACGGGUGCGUAACACGUAUGGAACCUGCCCUGUACUGGGAGAUAGCCCUCCGAAAGGAGGAUUAAUAUCCCAUAAUAGCUUGGGUGGCAUCACCUGGGUUUGAAAGCUCCGGCGGUACAGGAUGGCCAUGCGCACGAUUAGCUAGUUGGUGAGGUAACAGCUCACCAAGGCUACGAUCGUUAGGGGGCCUGAGAGGGUUAUCCCCCACACUGGUACUGAGACACGGACCAGACUCCUACGGGAGGCAGCAGUGAGGAAUAUUGCGCAAUGGAGGAAACUCUGACGCAGCCAUGCCGCGUGCAGGAAGAAGGUGCUACGCGUUGUAAACUGCUUUUAACCGGGAAGAAACCCUCCGACGUGUCGGAGGUUGACGGUACCGGAGGAAUAAGCACCGGCUAACUUCGUGCCAGCAGCCGCCGCGG
rnacentral:rRNA from 1 species